UGCAAGUCGAACGGUGAUCUCGGGGNCUUGCUCCGGGUGAUCAGUKGCGAACGGGUGAGUAACACGUGAGCAACCUGCCCCUUACUCUGGGAUAAGCCUUGGAAACGAGGUCUAAUACCGGAUACGAGACGCACGGGCAUCUGUAGCGUCUGGAAAGAAUUUCGGUGAGGGAUGGGCUCGCGGCCUAUCAGCUUGUUGGUGGGGUGAUGGCCUACCAAGGCGACGACGGGUAGCCGGCCUGAGAGGGCGACCGGCCACACUGGGACUGAGACACGGCCCAGACUCCUACGGGAGGCAGCAGUGGGGAAUAUUGCACAAUGGGCGCAAGCCUGAUGCAGCGACGCCGCGUGAGGGAUGACGGCCUUCGGGUUGUAAACCUCUUUCAGCAGGGAAGAAGCGCAAGUGACGGUACCUGCAGAAGAAGCSCCGGCUAACUACGUGCCAGCAGCCGCGGUAAUACGUAGGGCGCAAGCGUUGUCCGGAAUUAUUGGGCGUAAAGAGCUCGUAGGCGGUWUGUCGCGUCUGCUGUGAAAACCUCAGGCUCAACCUGGGGCUUGCAGUGGGUACGGGCAGACUAGAGUGCGGUAGGGGUGACUGRAAUUCCUGGUGUAGCGGUGGAAUGCGCAGAUAUCAGGAGGAACACCGAUGGCGAAGGCAGGUCACUGGGCCGCAACUGACGCUNASRAGCG
rnacentral:rRNA from 1 species